UCGAAAGGAGAAUGCAUAAACUGACUCACUACACUAACUGAGAAAGCAAUAUCAAGUCGGGUGUGUGACAAAUUAAUCAGUUUUCCAACCAAUAUCUGAUAUCUCCCAAUAUCAACAGAAACACUACCUUCUCUCCAAAAUUUAGCAUUAGGAUCCAUAGGGGUAUCUGCAGGACGACAUCCACUCAUUCCUGUUUCUUUCAACAAGUCUAUAAUGUAUUUCUGUUGUGAAACCACAAUACCAUUUUUUGACCGAGCAACCUCCAUAAGGUAUCUGCAGGACGACAUCCACUCAUUCCUGUUUCUUUCAACAAGUCUAUAAUGUAUUUCUGUUGUGAAACCACAAUACCAUUUUUUGACCGAGCAACCUCCAUACCUAGAAAAUAUCUCAUGAAUACUAAGUCCUAGAUUUCAAAGUCUACUUCCAAUUUCUCUUUUACUCUUACCAUUUCCACUGUAUCAUCUCCAGUAAGGACAAUAUCAUCAACAUAAGCAAUCAUGACAACAACUUUCCCAUCGUGGGAGAAUUUUGUGAACAAGGUGUGGUCAACCUGUCCUUGGAUGUACCCUUGUUUUUUG
rnacentral:lncRNA from 1 species